rnacentral:rRNA from 1 species
UACGGAGGGUGCGAGCGUUGUCCGGAAUCACUGGGCGUAAAGGGCGCGUAGGCGGCCUGAUAAGUAGGGGGUGAAAUCCUGCGGCUUAACCGCAGGGCUGCCUUCUAAACUGUCAGGCUAGAGCACAGUAGAGGCAGGUGGAAUUCCCAGUGUAGCGGUGAAAUGCGUAGAGAUUGGGAGGAACACCAGAGGCGAAGGCGGCGAACUGGAUAGCAACUGACACUGAACAACGAAAGCGUGGGUAGCAAACAGG